CAGAUUGAACGCUGGCGGCAUGCCUUACACAUGCAAGUCGAACGGCAGCACGGACUUCGGUCUGGGUGGCGAGUGGCGAACGGGUGAGUAAUGCAUCGGAACGUGCCAUUGAGUGGGGGAUAACGUAGCGAAAGUUGCGCUAAUACCGCAUAUUCUGUGAGCAGGAAAGCAGGGGACCGCAAGGCCUUGCGCUCUUUGAGCGGCCGAUGUCAGAUUAGCUAGUUGGUGAGGUAAAGGCUUACCAAGGCGACGAUCUGUAGCGGGUCUGAGAGGAUGAUCCGCCACACUGGAACUGAGACACGGUCCAGACUCCUACGGGAGGCAGCAGUGGGGAAUUUUGGACAAUGGGGGCAACCCUGAUCCAGCCAUGCCGCGUGAGUGAAGAAGGCCUUCGGGUUGUAAAGCUCUUUCGGCCGGGAAGAAAUCGCAUGGGCCAAUACCCUGUGUGGAUGACGGUACCGGAAUAAGAAGCACCGGCUAACUACGUG
rnacentral:rRNA from 1 species